rnacentral:rRNA from 1 species
GACGAACGCUGGCGGCGUGCUUAACACAUGCAAGUCGAACGGAAAGGCCCUGCUUUUGUGGGGUGCUCGAGUGGCGAACGGGUGAGUAACACGUGAGUAACCUGCCCUUUACUUUGGGAUAACUUCAGGAAACUGGGGCUAAUACCGGAUAGGAGCUCCUGCUUCAUGGUGGGGGUUGGAAAGUUUCGGCGGUUGGGGAUGGACUCGCGGCUUAUCAGCUUGUUGGUGGGGUAGUGGCUUACCAAGGCUUUGACGGGUAGCCGGCCUGAGAGGGUGACCGGCCACAUUGGGACUGAGAUAAGGCCCAGACUCCUACGGGAGGCAGCAGUGGGGAAUAUUGCAAAAUGGGCGGAAGCCUGAUGCAGCAACGCCGCGUGCGGGAUGACGGCCUUCGGGUUGUAAACCGCUUUCGCCUGUGACGAAGCGUGAGUGACGGUAAUGGGUAAAGAAGCACCGGCUAACUACGUG